rnacentral:rRNA from 1 species
GACGAACGCUGGCGGCGUGCUUAACACAUGCAAGUCGAACGGAAAGGCCCUGCUUUUGUGGGGUGCUCGAGUGGCGAACGGGUGAGUAACACGUGAGUAACCUGCCCUUGACUUUGGGAUAACUUCAGGAAACUGGGGCUAAUACCGGAUAGGAGCUCCUGCUGCAUGGUGGGAGUUGGAAAGUUUCGGCGGUUGGGGAUGGACUCGCGGCUUAUCAGCUUGUUGGUGGGGUAGUGGCUUACCAAGGCUUUGACGGGUAGCCGGCCUGAGAGGGUGACCGGCCACAGUGGGACUGAGAUACGGCCCAGACUCCUACGGGAGGCAGCAGUGGGGAAUAUUGCACAAUGGGCGGAAGCCUGAUGCAGCAACGCCGCGUGCGGGAUGACGGCCUUCGGGUUGUAAACCGAUUUCGCCUGUGACGAAGCGUGAGUGACGGUAAUGUGUAAAGAAGCACCGGCUAACUACGUG